rnacentral:rRNA from 1 species
GGGUUGUGAGGUUAAGCGACUAAGCGUACACGGUGGAUGCCCUGGCAGUCAGAGGCGAUGAAGGGCGUGCUAAUCUGCGAUAAGCGCCGGUAAGGUGAUAUGAACCGUUAUAACCGGCGAUACCCGAAUGGGGAAACCCAGUGUGACUCGUCACACUAUCAUUAACUGAAUCCAUAGGUUAAUGAGGCGAACCGGGGGAACUGAAACAUCUAAGUACCCCGAGGAAAAGAAAUCAACCGAGAUUCCCCCAGUAGCGGCGAGCGAACGGGGAGGAGCCCAGAGCCUGAAUCAGCAUGUGUGUUAGUGGAAGCGUCUGGAAAGGCGCGCGAUACAGGGUGACAGCCCCGUACACAAAAGCGCAUGUGCUGUGAGCUCGAUGAGUAGGGCGGGACACGUGGUAUCCUGUCUGAAUAUGGGGGGACCAUCCUCCAAGGCUAAAUACUCCUGACUGACCGAUAGUGAACCAGUACCGUGAGGGAAAGGCGAAAAGAACCCCGGCGAGGGGAGUGAAAAAGAACCUGAAACCGUGUACGUACAAGCAGUGGGAGCCCCACCACCAAAGCAUUUGCUGUACCGCGUUGACGGAGCGAAGCGACGUCAAACCGAUAAAACAGCAGUGUAAAGUGAGCCGCAGGGCGCUUUGCGCGACAGCGCAAAGGCAGGCGGUUUCGCGUAGCGAAAGCGAAUGCUUUGGGGUGGGGUGACUGCGUACCUUUUGUAUAAUGGGUCAGCGACUUAUAUUCUGUAGCAAGGUUAACCGAAUAGGGGAGCCGGAGGGAAACCGAGUCUUAAUUGGGCGUUAAGUUGCAGGGUAUAGACCCGAAACCCGGUGAUCUAGCCAUGGGCAGGUUGAAGGUUGGGUAACACUAACUGGAGGACCGAACCGACUAAUGUUGAAAAAUUAGCGGAUGACCUGUGGCUGGGGGUGAAAGGCCAAUCAAACCGGGAGAUAGCUGGUUCUCCCCGAAAGCUAUUUAGGUAGCGCCUCGUGAAUUCAUCUCCGGGGGUAGAGCACUGUUUCGGCUAGGGGGCCAUCCCGGCUUACCAACCCGAUGCAAACUGCGAAUACCGGAGAAUGUUAUCACGGGAGACACACGGCGGGUGCUAACGUCCGUCGUGAAGAGGGAAACAACCCAGACCGCCAGCUAAGGU